rnacentral:rRNA from 1 species
UACGUAGGGGGCAAGCGUUGUUCGGAAUUACUGGGCGUAAAGGGCGCGUAGGCGGCACAGCAAGUCGGGAGUGAAAGCCCGGGGCUCAACCCCGGAAUGUCUUUCGAAACUGCUGAGCUCGAGUGCGGAAGAGGCAACUGGAAUUCCCAGUGUAGCGGUGAAAUGCGUAGAUAUUGGGAAGAACACCUGAGGCGAAGGCGGGUUGCUGGGCCGACACUGACGCUGAGGAGCGAAAGCCAGGGGAGCAAACGGG